UAUUGAAACUUCGGUCGAUUUAAUUUAAUUCUAGUGGCGGACGGGUGAGUAACGCGUGGGUAACCUGCCUUAUACAGGGGGAUAACAGUCAGAAAUGGCUGCUAAUACCGCAUAAGCGCACAGAGCUGCAUGGCUCAGUGUGAAAAACUCCGGUGGUAUAAGAUGGACCCGCGUUGGAUUAGCUGGUUGGUGGGGUAACGGCCCACCAAGGCGACGAUCCAUAGCCGGCCUGAGAGGGUGAACGGCCACAUUGGGACUGAGACACGGCCCAGACUCCUACGGGAGGCAGCAGUGGGGAAUAUUGCACAAUGGGGGAAACCCUGAUGCAGCGACGCCGCGUGAAGGAAGAAGUAUCUCGGUAUGUAAACUUCUAUCAGCAGGGAAGAUAGUGACGGUACCUGACUAAGAAGCCCCGGCUAACUACGUGCCAGCAGCCGCGGUAAUACGUAGGGGGCAAGCGUUAUCCGGAUUUACUGGGUGUAAAGGGAGCGUAGACGGUGUGGCAAGUCUGAUGUGAAAGGCAUGGGCUCAACCUGUGGACUGCAUUGGAAACUGUCAUACUUGAGUGCCGGAGGGGUAAGCGGAAUUCCUAGUGUAGCGGUGAAAUGCGUAGAUAUUAGGAGGAACACCAGUGGCGAAGGCGGCUUACUGGACGGUAACUA
rnacentral:rRNA from 1 species